UGAUGUCUGCCCAAGGUGGAUGGUGGUACAGCCCAAGGCGGCGGUGGGUUCAGGGUUGACGAUGACUUGCUCUGCUUGGAUGGACAAUGCCAGGGGUCAACAGGAACACCUAUGGCUGGUUGCUAGGGAGAGAUCGGUCGUGAUCAUGGGGAAUGAUGUGACGCCUUGUACCACCUCUACUUCGCAAGAAGGUUGUUUGCUGAAGCGCCAGAGUAGUGGUGUGGUGCCCCCAAUGCCAGGUUCCACUGCUAAUGUCGCAUUGAGAGGAAGCUACCAUCCUCCCCGCUGCUAAUGUCCUGCUGCUCAGCCGUGGACGACCUUUACCAGCUUGAUCUCUGCCCAAUGUGGAUGGUG